UACGUAGGGGGCAAGCGUUGUCCGGAAUCAUUGGGCGUAAAGCGCGUGUAGGCGGUCCGGUAAGUCCGCUGUGAAAGUCGGGGGCUCAACCCUCGGAUGCCGGUGGAUACUGUCGGGCUUGAGUACGGAAGAGGCGAGUGGAAUUCCUGGUGUAGCGGUGAAAUGCGCAGAUAUCAGGAGGAACACCAAUUGCGAAGGCAGCUCGCUGGGACGUUACUGACGCUGAGACGCGAAUGCGUGGGGAGCAAACAGG
rnacentral:rRNA from 1 species